UACGAAGGGGGCUAGCGUUGCUCGGAAUCACUGGGCGUAAAGCGCACGUAGGCGGCUUUUUAAGUCAGAGGUGAAAUCCUGGAGCUCAACUCCAGAACUGCCUUUGAUACUGGAGAGCUUGAGUCCGGGAGAGGUGAGUGGAACUGCGAGUGUAGAGGUGAAAUUCGUAGAUAUUCGCAAGAACACCGGUGGCGAAAGCGGCUCACUGGAUCUCUUCUGACGCUGAGGCACGAAAGCUAGGGUAGCGAACGGG
rnacentral:rRNA from 1 species